rnacentral:rRNA from 1 species
AUUGAACGCUGGCGGCAUGCCUUACACAUGCAAGUCGAACGGUAACAGGUCUUCUGUUGCUGACGAUUGGCGAACGGGUGAGUAAUACAUCGGAACGUGCCCGAUCUUGUGGGUUAACGUGGCUAAAGCUUUGCUAAUACCUCAUACGAUCUACGUAUGAAAGCGUGGGAUCUUCGUACCUCGCUCGGCCUUUGCGGCCGAUGGCCGAUUAGGUAGUUGGUUGGUUAAAAGCUUACCAAGCCGACGAUCUGUAGCUGGUCUGAGAGGAUGAUCAGCCACACUGGGACUGAGACACGGCCCAGACUCCUACGGGAGGCAGCAGUGGGGAAUUUUGGACAAAGGGCGAAAGCCUGAUCCAGCCAUGCCGCGUGCAGGAUGAAGGAAUUCGGGUUGUAAACUGCUUUUGUACGGAACGAAAAGCCUCUUUCUAAUAAAGAGGGGUAAUGACGGUACCGAAAGAAUAAGCACCGGCUAACUACGUG